ACCCCCAAAACAUUGCAGAAAUCUCCUCUGUUGUCCGAAUCGCAGGAACAGGAAGCUGGAGAUUUCGUCACAGCAACCGAAGAGGAAUCUCUCAAACAGCGCGAACAGGUUGAGGUCAUGCGAAACCUGAAUCUUUUAGCAGGAGAGUUAUCAUGUAGUGAUUUGUAGGACAUUAUUUGUGUUCCUUGCAGUGAACAGGUCGAGGUCAUUUGAAAUCUGAAUCUUUUAGCAGGAGAGCUGUCAUGUAGUGAUUAAGACAUAAGAGAAACAAAGAAACUUUUGCCUGUUGCAUGGUUUUGCUCUCAAUACAAGGAUAUUUAACAGGGCACAUGACAUUUAUUUUCAUGAUGUGUAUUCCUGCAGCAGUCCAAUCAUCUCCUAAAGUGAACUCUGUUCUUCAGUAGAUACUCAACGAGUAUCUUUGUCGGUGGAGUAUUUGUAAGUAAUGCUUCGGCUUGCGCCAUACAACUCCUUAAGUUUAUUCGCUCGUUCCACCCGCUUUCGGCGAAAAUAUAUGGAUACACCUUCCUUUCCCUUUGGGUCCAGAGCAUCCAAGGGUUGCCAUCUUAACUUUGACCUUUCCAACCAAAGAGGAGGUCUCCAUCCUCUAAAUAUGACUGCUUCAGUAAGCUCUGUGGGACGACAAUUGUGUCUUGGCCUAUCAUCAAAGUACCGAAGCUUGAAUUUGAGGCUCUCUAUACCUCCAUUUGAUAAAGGUUCUAGAGUUAACUGGAGUGCACGCCGGGCCUCAUGGGCAGCUGGGGGUGCUUCUUUUGGAGCAUGUUUAAGCUUCGGGGAAGCUCAUGCAGAAUCCCCCAUGGGAAAUAACAGCAAGAAUGAUGAUAAUAGUACUUCUUCCAUCAGCGUGUCUCAUGGAAAGAAAGUGUACAGUGACUAUUCCAUAACAGGGAUACCGGGAGAUGGCAGAUGCUUGUUUCGUUCUGUUGCUCAUGGAGCAUGCAUCCGUUCUGGGAAGCCAUCACCUGAUGAGGCUCUUCAGAGAGAACUAGCAGAUGAAUUAAGGGCACUGGUUGCAGAGGAAUUUGUUAAGAGGCGUUCAGAGACAGAAUGGUUUAUUGAGGGUGAUUUUGAUACCUACAUCUCGCAAAUUAGAAAGCCACAUGUUUGGGGAGGCGAGCCAGAAUUAUUAAUGGCGUCUCAUGUUCUUGAGAUGCCCAUCUCGGUUUAUAUGCAUGAUGAAGGAGCUGGUGGCGUGAUAAACAUUGCUGAAUAUGGACAAGAAUAUGGAAAAGAUAACCCAAUUCGCGUUCUUUAUCAUGGCUUUGGUCAUUAUGAUGCGCUUCAGAUUCCUGGGAAGAAGGGUGGGAAAUCAAGACUAUAGCAGGCUUCACAAGAGGUCAAAGAGAUGGAAAUUUUUGAAGCAUUGCCCCUUGGUGGCUUGAGCUAACAGAGCGUUCAGUAAGGUUAUUGGAACAUCGAUGACAUUUAUAAAAAAAAAAUCUUCUUAAUGGCAAAUACCAUUUCGCUGCAAUGCCUGUGGAUGAUGCCAAAAACUUAGGAGAUAAACUGAGAUAACAGGAAGCCAUCAGCAUGUUGUACCAAGCCAUCAAUGUAAGGUUGAGAAACCAAGUUGGAUGAUACCGAGUUGCUUUUUAUAUCGAGUGAAGUUGCUGUCGUUCCUGUAAUCAGAAUUUAGUUACCGUGUUCUUGUGCAUAUAUCAACGGAAACAAACUUGCUCGAAAGAGGAAUACAGCCUUGCUUUUUCAUUUUAAUCUCGAGAUAUCGGUCCCAAAAAAAACUUUGUUGUCAUCAGGAAAGACUACUUUCUAUAUAAACUUUUAAUUAGAGUGAGGAGAGGAUCUU